rnacentral:rRNA from 1 species
GUCCACGCCGUAAACGAUGUCGACUUGGAGGUUGUUCCCUUGAGGAGUGGCUUCCGGAGCUAACGCGUUAAGUCGACCGCCUGGGGAGUACGGCCGCAAGGUUAAACUCAAAUGAAUUGACGGGGCCCGCACAAGCGGUGGAGCAUGUGGUUUAAUUCGAUGCAACGCGAAGAACCUUACCUACUCUUGACAUCCACGGAAUUUAGCAGAGAUGCUUUAGUGCCUUCGGGAACCGUGAGACAGGUGCUGCAUGGCUGUCGU